CAGAAUGAAAAACCAGGGAAAAGACACCUCCAGCAUGGCGUGCCUGGGAGGCAGGAAAUCUGGACUCUGGUCUUGCUGUGUAACUGUGGGUAAGUCGUGGCCCUUCUCUGGGCUUCUCUUUCCUCCUCUGAAAAAAAUCAGCACAUGGGCUGAAGAUGGCUGGAAUCCUCAGGAUCUAAAAUCCUACAAUUCUGUGAUACGUCUCAUGGUUACAUGCACUCAAAGUUUGUAUAACCAUUUCAGUGUCUUGUAGUAGUGAAAGGUACACUCCUUUACUGCUUUCCAAACUAUCAGGCUAGGAAAUGCAAGCUUCUGACCUCAGCAGAUAAACUUAGAAAUCUCCACCAGUCAUAUUUUAGUGCAUUUUAAAUAGCACAUUUAAAGAGAGGUGGGGAAUUAUUCAUUCACUGCUUUUUAAGGCUCAAAAUGUAAAUUUUAUUCUUUGUAUUGCAUUUUCCUACAUAAUUUCUCAUUUCCUUUGUAUUUUCUCAGUUAAUCUUACCAGCAUCCCUAUGAGGUAGCCAAGAUGGGCAACUAGGUAGCCCUUAGUGGCAUUCACCAAAAAUUCUUGCUCUCCAUUCUUCUAAGAGCAUAGUAAUUUAUGGCCUGCGGUGGUUGGGAGUAUCAUGCAAUCAGUUCUGUUUAAGGAAUUGUGAGCUUCCAGAAAUAAUGAUUGUUAACUUCAAGCUGAACAUUUAAGUGAACGUACGAAGCCAUCUUGGGUUUUCUGUUUUCUUUGCCAAGGUGUCCAGAAAUGUUCUAAUCAGUGGCAGUUCCAUCAGCCUAAGUCCUGGAGUGAGAGUGAUGCAAAGAAAAGCCCCUAAAUGAAUUGGGGAAGACACACAGCAUAAGCAAAAUCAUCUUUAUUGAAGUACUGACAUAUUGGUGCUAUUUUCUGCUGCAUCCCAACUUAGCAACUGAGUCAGCCACUAGCACCAUUUUCAUAUGGAGAAACUGAAGCUUAGUAAACUAAAAUAAACAGUCUUUUCUUUGUAAGUGCCCCAUGCUUGGGAUUUGAACUUGGGUCUUCUGACUCCACAUUAGUUCUAUUUUCCCUACACUGAACAGUUACCUUAACUAGUAUUAGGUAUUAGACUUGAGUUCAUUUGAGCUCAACUUGUGGUUCCUGGGUUUAAUCAGUCUUUGGAAGAUACAAUAGGAGGGUAAUAAGAUCACAGGCUUUGGAGUUAAGCAGAUAUAAACUUGAGUCCUGGCUCUGGCAAUUAUUGGCUUCGUGUCCUUGGCAUGUUGCUAGAAUGUGGUCUCUUAAGUCUUCUCAUUCAACCAAGACUGUAGAGGGUAUGACUCUUAAUAGUAGGGAAAACGUACCGCUAAUGGUAUAGUAAGUAUCAAGCAUCAGUGGCAGUAUGGGUAGAUAUUUUGGGGUGGAGUCUGCUUAAAUCAGAGAGAAAGAGUGAUUUGCCUGAGGUUAUUCAGUAAGUGGCAGAGCCUCAAUCGCAACCCAGACCUCUCUCAUUCCUUCCAGACUUUCUCAAUCUUCUAAGAUGAAACUAGCUCUGCUAAAACCCUACAUAAGUGAGGAAAAAGAGGCAUGGCCUGAUUUUAAUGAUUGACUUCAACGUGGAGAGCCUUCCCAUUCUGUUCCUGUUUGCCUUCAAGCUUCAAGUUGAUUUAUUCUUUGAAUAUUUCUCUCCUUUAUCAUACUCUGGCUUAGCAUUGAGAACAGCAGGCAUUGCCUUGGCAAGGUUACAGGAUAAACUUGCUGCUUUUAGGACAUCUGCAUUCAGCAAAAUCUUUAUUUUUUCUCCCUUGGGCAUAAUCUUGGAAAAACACAUCUGUUAUUCCGGGUGCUUACCUGGCUGGGCUUAUUUUUUCUCCUUUGGAUGGAGAAGUGAGGAAGAAUUUUCACACCCUCUGAAGUCACAGACCCUUUGUGUAUUUAAAACAUACAAACAAACAAACUCUCAGAAUCUUGAUUGAGUCAUAAAGUUUUAUGAGAAAGAUGAGAGCACCACCUGUGUCCCAGAGUCCUUCAGUUCCAAGAUGUCAAAGUCACUGGAGAUGCUUUCAAGAGUCUCUUCUAAGUCACUGAAGUGUGGGCAGGGGUUAGGGGUUUGAAUGCCUCUUAAUGGACAGACCCUACGUUUCCCAGAUCUCUGCCCCAGGACAGAUCUCUCGUCCUCUUACCAUUGGCUAAGCCACAUUUACACAUGACUGCCUCUACCUUAUCCUCCCCAGUGAACCAAUGAAUGUUCCAGUAUUUGGGGAAGAGAAACAAAGACCAAGGUAAAGUUUGAAACUCAGUUCUACCUCAUUCAUCCAUUCAUUCAUGGUAAAACAAUUAUUGAGCACCUACUGUGUGCCAGGCCCUAGACUAGACCCUGAGGAAAUGCCAGUAAUCCAAUCCCUGACCUCAUUGUUUUCAACAGUGGAGAUUUGAAAAAUGACAAGGCAGUUAUAAUGUGGUGUAAUGAAGUCAGGAAUAAUUGACCAUCAUUUAUUCAAUAAUACUGAACACUGAUUAUAUGCCAAACACUGUUUUAAGUGCUAAGAAUAUAGUGGUGAGCAAAACAGACAAACAUCUCUGCCCUCAUGAAGCUUAUCUUUAGAUGAUAUAGGCAGGUAAUGAAAUAGAUAAGUGUAUGAUGCCAUGGCAAGUGGUAAUGACAAGCCUCAUGGAGAAAAAUACGGUGCAGUAUGUGGGGAGAGUGUGAUGGAGGGUGCUGUUCCAGCUCGGGUGGUCUCAGAAGGGUUCCCUGCAGAGGUGAUAUUUGAGGGGAGCCCUGCUAAUGAUGCAGGGCCACAAGGCCAGAAGCACUGCAUCCUGUAGGGUAUCUGAGAGGGCAUCUAACCUGUAUCUACCUGUGACUUUUGUUGAACUGCUUAACUUCUCUGAACUUCAGUCUCUUCCUCCCAUGAGGGGGUUUAAUGCCCUGCAUACUCACCUCCUCUGAUUGUGGAGAAGAAGAGAGAAACUCUUCUUGAAGGAGCUUCCUUGCUUUUUCUACUUGGAUCUGUGAAUUUUUCUCAUCAGCCCCUUCUCCAGAAGGUCUGGACUCCUAACAGUCUCAGAGUCUCAGUGGUGCUGAUGUGAACUCACAGACGAGGCUUUGAAUCCUGCCACCAAAAGCAAGUGUCCCAACUUCCCUGAGCCUGAUUCCCUCAUCUGUACAAUGGAUAUAAUGAACAGAACCUAUGCUUUCUGGUUAUUGUCAGAACUAAGUGAGUUUGUUCAUUUCAUACCUUCUAAAGGGACUUGCCCUGCAAGAAGUGCUUCAACACUGUGUUGACUGAAACAAUAUCACCAUUAUAUUUAUUAAACGUUGGAAAUACCAGUGGCACAUGCAGGAGCCUCAAGCCUGUGUCUGGCAUGUCAUCAAUACUCAGAAAAUGUUAUUGCUCCCCCCUUCUUCUCUUCGUUGUCUCUUCCACUCUAUUAUCAGUGAUGCUGCCCUCUUCCCCUCUUCUGUGUUUGAACCAAAGCCGAGGUUGCAGAGAGCUGGCAUCUGGCUCAAGGAAAAGAACAAAGUAAAGAAACUCUUCGGCUUCCUUCUUAGAAACUUUCAUCGCACAUCGACAGAAUGCCAGGUGCUCUCCCAAUCACUUUCCAUGUAUAUUAACCUAUUUGAUCCUCACAUUGACACUAUAAGCUAUAUAUGUUGACUAUCCUCACUUUAUGGUGAUGGAAACCAAAGUAUAGCAAUAAUAUUAAAUAACUUCACCAAGGUCACUGGGCUGAUUUGCAAGAAAUUCUCUAGCUCAAGCCCCCAGAACAAGAAAGAACUGAAUUCUCUAAAGAAUUAAGAUAAGAAAAUAGAUGGAAGCCUUCUGAAUAUUGUGUCUCUCCAAAGCCUGGAAGGAGCAGAUGAUGUGCAGAGGGAGCCUGAACCCCAACGGAGGCACCCCAUGCUGGAAGACACGUGGUAAAGGGGUUUUUCUUAUCACUUGGGCUCUGCUUACCUUCUCUGAUCUUCCUCUCUCCUUCCCUGGGGCUGGCAAGCGUGUCCACAGACAGUUGUAAAUUGCUGAUCUUGGCAAAAGGCACCGUGGAAAGACAAAGUGAAUCAUUAAAGAGAAAAAAUGGAGCCGGCUGUCUUUGAACUCUCAGACUCUGGAGCAUAGCAGUGCUUGGAGCUCAGCACUGCUUGUUUCAGAACUCCAGGAUCAAUAAUUGCCAGCUCCCUACACCCUGCCUUCUGAGAAUUGAGGCACCCCCUGGGCGCCAAGAGGCAGAGUGUGGAUUCCCAGGUGCAGAAGUGGCAUGAUGGGGACUUGGUCCCCAGCCUUUGGAAACUGCUGAUCUUUCCUUUCCUUCUUUCUUCUCCUGGAAGAGCAGAUGGCUUUGAGGGAUAGCGGGUGUACUUAGUCAAUUAGACUGCUGGCACACCCAUUGAUCUUUGGGGAGCUAAGGUCAGAAGAACAAUUACCCAGCCUGUAAUCCUUCUCCAGCUUUCUCUCCUCUGGACCUGUUGGAAUUACACACAACUGUCGAUGCAAGCUUUGUUCUCCUGGCGUGUCUCUCCCUCCUGCUAUUUCUCAUUUCUGAUCCAUUGGGGUCUCUGUCUUCUUCAUUCUCAUUAUUUUCCUGACUUCUCCCUUUUCCUUCUCUUCUCUCCUCAUCUAGGGAGUAAUGAACCCAUUUGGUCAAUUUCAAGGCCAUUCCCUGACUUACUGCUGGUCAUCUGUCCACUGGGGUGACAGCAUUGUUCAGAGGAAAGCUUGGGAAAUCAGACAGAUGGGAAUCCAAUUCCUGGUUUUUGGCUUAUUUGCUUCGUGACCAUGGACAAAUAAUUUAGCUUUAAUCAUCUUUUCUUUGAAUAUGGGUUGGAUCAGAGCAUGAGCGAAAUGAUGAUUGGCCCAUGGCAAGUGAUCCACAGAUAGUAAUCAUUAUCAUCAUUAUUAAUUAUCAUUAUUCUUUGCAGAGAAGGGGUGUGGGUAAGGCCAUCCUCUGCCUGUGGGUAAGGCCAUCCUCUGCCUGCCCCACCAGGUCUCAGCAACGUCAUGGCCCCUUAAGGCUCCCACUUCUCAGAGCCUGAACCAAUAACAACAUAGCCUGGUAGAAUAUUAGAAACUCUUUCUUCAUAGAAAGGAUCUAGAAAAGUCAGAUAUGCAGUUACCCAGGGUGGUGAGGAUGGCCCAGGACACAAUCCCCUGUCCCCCCACAAACAGAGUUGUGCUGCAGCUCCCCCAUCUGACCUCUCCAUGUGCAUCCACUCUGACCACCUGGCCUACUCCCAAGUUCUCGGUUCCCUGUCCAGUUUCCUGUCCAGUUUUCCUCUCAGAGCCCAGCUGAGAACCCCUAGCUUAGUGAGAUAUCAGAUCCCUGCCAGCUCUGAAUUCCAGCUCCUUCUGUGGUCUAGGGCACAAUGAUACUAAGAAGCCUGGUGCUGGAGUGUGUAGCUGGGAAGGGCUGGAGCUUGUCUUCUAAGCUUCCCCAGCCUCACUGUAAGGAAGAGGACUCUGUCACUGCCUUCAGAGCCAUCAGCAAUCUUGUCAUUUGAAGGCAUUGAGCUGGAAGUGAACUGAAGUUAUUCAUGGUUCUUGGCAUCAGCAGAAAUACCCUGGUCUUUCUGAAAGUGUGCUGGAUUUGGAAUCAGAAGACUUGGUCUGAGUCAUGGUUCUAUCAUUUACUAAUGAUAAAAACUUGGGGAAAAAAAAAAAACCUUAGGCAAGCCAUUUAACUUCUUGAGAAACACUUUCUACCAUUCUGACAACAAUCAUUUAAUACGGAUGCGUCUAUACGGUGGUUAGUAGUGCUGGCUCCUUCCUUUAUUAAAACACUCUUACAGGUGUGAGGGAUAUUUGUCAUGGAUUUCUACUUUGCUUGGAGAGACAAGGUGUUUAUAGCAGUUGCCAGUUACAAUAUAAAAGGUAAAUAUGGCACUGAGGUUAAGUUCAAGGCUCUCGGGUGCACAUCUCUGAUCUAUUUAUCAGCUGUGACCAUGGGCAAGUUAACCUACCUCUGUGU
rnacentral:lncRNA from 1 species